CUUUCUAAAAAUUAGCUGGAAACGUUUGAAAAAUAAUUUUUGUCCAUAUUUUGAUCAUAUUUAAUUAAAUAUCUUUGUACAAAAUGGUCUCGAAAGUGAUUGCUUUGUUGCUGAUUUCGUUGGUAUUACUUCAGUGUGCAACAGUUAUAGAAUGUAUUUUGGAGCAGUGCUUCUAUGAAUUGGGUGUCUGUGUCUCGGCGGCGGCAUGCGAAGGAAUAGGAUUUGAUAACAGGCGAAGAUUCAUUUACGGGGAAUGUGAUAGGCCCAGACCAGGAUUUAUUUGUUGCAUCAAUUUUUGAUUUUUUUUAUUUUAAAUAAAUUUA